rnacentral:lncRNA from 10 species
GCACCAAGAAGACCCUGAGUCACAUGCUUGCUGCUGUCCCCAUCUAUGAUGGCUGUAAAUUCCAUUUGCCUGCUGCUGUCCAUGAAUGGAAGUCUACCUGGGACCCUCUCCUGACCUGGAGACCCACACAUCCAAAUGCCUACUUGGCAGCUCCCGUGGAUGUUUCGUGAUCAGCAUUCCCAACAGUGAAAUCCUGAAUGCUCUUCCCCAAAUCCACUCCACACACGGCCUUCCCUAUCCCUUGUGGUGGCAACUGAGUCCACUGUGGGUCCAU